AGACUUCCUCAUUUUCAGAAGCAUAGUGAUAUUUAAUUAUUUUUAUAAAGUAUCAGCUUAUUUUUGGAGCAGUCAUGACUUUUUAUUCAAAAACAAAGGUUUUGAUCUCAUAAUAUCAGGUGACAAUUCAAUAGACUUUUAUAAUGGUGAUGAGCUCACAGCAACUGCUUAUGCAAUCAUGUGAAAAAGCAAGGAUGUUGCCAGAGAAAUUCUGCCAGAACUGAUGACUUCCACCAGGUAAUUGAAGUGCAUGCACCUACACCAUGAAAUAAAAAGGCCACUGUCUUGCUCUACCAGGCUAUUUACCUGGCCAUUGGACUCCAUGUUUCCUCUGCUGCCUUGCCAUGAAAAAUUGCCCAACUAGCCUCCAAAUUAUGGCCAUCCAAGUAAUCUCAAAAAGAGCUGAUCAUCUCUCUCUGUUUCCAUCACUACUGAAUCCUCUCUCUUCUACUGGCCUAAAUCACCUUCCAAAGUACCACUGGUAACCCGAUUCAGUCUGCAUACCAUCUUCC